UUUCCGUAGGUGAACCUGCGGAAGGAUCAUUAUUGUAUAACCGAGGUGCGAGGGCUGUCGCUGACCCGAAAGGUCGUGCACGCCCGAGUGCCCUCACACACAUCCAUCUCACCCCUAUAUGCACCACCGCGUGGGUCCCCCUUUGGCUUGUUCGGAGGGGGGCUUACGUUUUCACACAAACUUUGUAUGCAGUGUCGAAUGUACUUUUUGUUUUUGCGAUCACGCAAUCAAUACAACUUUCAACAACGGAUCUCUUGGCUCUC
rnacentral:misc_RNA from 1 species